CUACAAAUAUUUCUUGUUCAUUGCCAUCAUUAAUUCAUCAAAUCGCUUAUAAAUUAAUGAGCGUAAGUCCAUUAUUCUAUUUACACAGAACUGUGUUUUGUUUCAUAAACUAUCACAUUAAAGCUCUCCCCUGUCUUCACUGUACUUAGCUGAAUUGGGGUGAAUAACUGAGCCGAUGAACUCCUUUUUCCUUUUUUCCACUGCAGCCCCAAGCCAAGAGCCCCAUCAGUGCCAUCACCUCUGAUCCAAGGGAGAGGAGACCGCCCUGGCUUGGGCACUCUCUGAGAGAGAAACUAUAGUUCCUCCACAGGCCAGAGCAACAGGAAGCUGGUUCUGGACUUGUGACCAGAAAGGCAGUCCUGCAGCUCUGAGCUACAGCAGUCCAGCAUCCUCUUGCCCGAAAGGCAAGCCGGGGAACCAGGAUGAAAUGCAACAAACAAACAAAUAAGAAAGACCGAGUUUUCCUGAUUCAAUCGGCCUAUUUCUUUUACUCAAGAGUCUGUGUGGAAGUGAUAGAUAAUUAUUCUUCCAAACAGUUGCUUUUCACUUCCAUGAUGCAGUGCAGCUGGGACUAGACCGCCCCGUCAAAAAUUCCAUUUUUCAGCAGAACCACAUCCUCAUAAAUGAUGUGAUGGCACUUGUUUUCUACAAUGGCUUAUAAGCAGAACGAGUCACUUCUCACCUCUAGGAAUUAAUCCAGUUCCUCCUGGGUUUAAAGAAUGAAGACAAAGACCACAGCAUCCAAGAAAUGAAACAUUUAUUAAGACUGGGAAAGCUGUUUUUAAUUACCUUCUCGGGCUAUAUACGCUGAUGAAGACGGUGCUUUAACAGUGUUUUAACACAUUGCUGCCUUUUAAAGAAGAGCAACGGUUACCUCAGAAGAUCUUGGAACUGCUCCUGGACAGUCCAUGGCGAGUGGCCAUGAAUGGGGAAAUGUCAAGUCCUGCAAUGCCCAUUCAGGAGAGAGAAGGUGAUAUAAUGACAGAUCCAACAGAUACAGUAGAUUCCAUGCUCUUGUGCGUGAUGAGCAAAGAAUUGGACACAUUCAUCCAGAAGCAGAAGAAAAACAACUACAUCUUUUGAAGAUGACGGGGAGAAGUGAGCAGUGUGGUCUGCAUGAACAGAAAAAUGGGGCCAGGACAACGGGGAAGUCAAAAGCACUACAGGGUGGCAGAUAACUGCAUCAUGACAGAAGGAACAAACAGCCUCAUCUUCAAUGGGAGCAGAAAGAAAAAGAUAGGUGAGGCAGAGUCACUCCUCUUAUAACAAUGCUCUUGCAAGAACUGAACGGAUCACACAAGAACUACUUCAUACUUCCACCAACCCAAGGAUAUCACACUAACCCCCAUAUUCCAAAGGUUCCUCCAUUUCCCACUAGCACCACAAGGUGGACCAAGCCUUCAAUCACAGUGGGCCAUUAGGGCCCUGAAACUUACCUUCAAACCAUAACACUUACCAAGACUUCCUGUCUUACCCUCUGUACAUUAAGUUGGGCUACAGCUCCUUGGUAUUUUCUGUGGGCUGGGGCCUGUGCCACGGUCGUUGGAAGGGAGAUACUGUCAUUUUAUAUCAGAGGGAAGUGGGCCUGGAGACCAAUCCUUGUAUACAACAUUGACUUGUUUUUGGAUGUCUGUAACUCUGAAAAGUCCAAGAGCCUUGGAAUACUUCUAACUCAAGCCAGAACAAUGGAAAAUAAACUAUUAAAUAUGAAAUCCAGAACUCUGGUCCCUCUAUCAUAAUGAGGUGAGUCUAUUAGUUGUAUAUACUUAGUCAGAAAUAAGGAUACCUUUGAGUUAUUGCUGGAUAGCCAUUCAGACUCUCUAUAUUUGUGUUAUUACUGAAGAAUAAAUAGUCAAACAGACCGCAGGAACUCCUGGCACCAGCUAAACAUUUCUAAAGUGUUUUUAAUGGUGAAUACAGGGUAUUUAAUUACUUUCUAUUGGAAAAAUCCUUCAUUUGGACUGAAUUACCAUCAUAUUUAGGACCAGUAAAUUUAGCUUACUCAUAUCUGUGUUCUCGUGGUCCUUUCAAUUAUUCACUUAUUUCAUACAUAUUUAUGGAAUGGCUAUGGUGUUCCAUAAACUAUAUUGGGGCUAAAUAGGCAACAGUGAGAGAAACAGAUGUAAUUAUAAUCCUUGUGACUCUUACAUCUAGUAUAGGAUAGAGACAAUACUUCACUCAGCUUCCCAUUGUUGUAAUAAGAUAACUGAGAUAAUUAACUUAAAAAGACAUUUUCAUUUUUUUCUCAUAGUUUCAGAGGUGUCAGUCCAUGGUCAGUUGACCAUAUGCCUUUAGGCCUGUGGUGAGGAAGUACAUCAUGGUGUAGCACAAGCUGAUCACAGCAUGGUGGCUGGAAAGUGAAAAGAGAAGAAAGGCAGGAGCCCACAUCCCAAUAAUGCUUUCAAGGAUAAGCACCCAAUGGCUUAACUUUCUUCCAUUAGGCUCCGCUUCCUAAAGGUUUUGCCACCUCCCAAUAGUGCAACUGGCUGGAGACCAAACCUUUGACAUACUGGCCUUUGAACAUUUAUUGUGACCACAGCAGAAAAUAAUAAAAGAAUUUUAGAUAAUUAAGAAUGUCUAUUAAAAAAAUAAGGUAAUUCAACAGAGCUAAUGGGUCAGAAGCAUUGCUACUUUAGAUAGGACAGAGACCAGAAAAAUAGGAAAAGUCCAGUCAUAUCAUGUAAAAUGCUGGGUUGGGGAAAAGUGAACACAUCAUAGAAGAACAGCAAAUAUGAUAGUAUUGCAGCAGCCAAGCAUUUAGUGACUUUCAGGAGCAGUAGGAUGGACCUGUAAUUACCAGAGAACAAGCAGAUAGAGUUUAGUAUGAGAUGAUGCCAGGAGGGUAGAAAGGCCAGAAUAUGUGGGGGGAUGUGGGUCAUGGGAAAAAGUUUAGAUUAUAUUUCAAAAAUUUUGGAAUCUGUGAGUGCACUUGUAAUGGUUAAUUUUAAGUGUCAACUUGACUGGGCCACAUGGUGCCCAGAUAUUUGGUAAAUCAUUACUCUGUUUCUGUGAGGUGUUUUUGUAUGAGAUCAACAUUUGAAUCAAUAAACAAUAAAGCUGAUGGU
ensembl:lncRNA